rnacentral:rRNA from 1 species
CGGUGGAGUAUGUGGUUAAUUCGAUGCAACGCGAAGAACCUUACCUGGUCUUGACAUCCCGGAGACCCUUAGGAAACUAGGGGUGCUCCAUCUGGAAGAAUCUGGAGACAGGUGCUGCAUGGCUGUCGUCAGCUCGUGUCGUGAGAUGUUGGGUUAAGUCCCGCAACGAGCGCAACCCUUGCCUUUAGUUGCCAGCAGUUCGGCUGGGCACUCUAAAGGGACUGCCGGUGUUAAACCGGAGGAAGGUGGGGAUGACGUCAAGUCCUCAUGGCCUUUAUGACCAGGGCUACACACGUACUACAAUGGCCGAUACAAAGGGCAGCGACACUGCGAGGUGAAGCCAAUCCCGUAAAAUCGGUCUCAGUCCGGAUUGGAGUCUGCAACUCGACUCCAUGAAGUUGGAAUCGCUAGUAAUCGUGGAUCAGCAUGCCACGGUGAAUACGUUCCCGGGCCUU